UGCAGUCGAACGGUGAAGCCCAGCUUGCUGGGUGGAUCAGUGGCGAACGGGUGAGUAACACGUGAGUAACCUGCCUUUGACUCUGGGAUAAGCCUUGGAAACGGGGUCUAAUACUGGAUACGAGACGCUCGGGCAUCCGAAGUGUCUGGAAAGAUUUAUCGGUCAGAGAUGGACUCGCGGCCUAUCAGCUUGUUGGUGGGGUAACGGCCUACCAAGGCGACGACGGGUAGCCGGCCUGAGAGGGCGACCGGCCACACUGGGACUGAGACACGGCCCAGACUCCUACGGGAGGCAGCAGUGGGGAAUAUUGCACAAUGGGCGCAAGCCUGAUGCAGCGACGCCGCGUGAGGGAUGACGGCCUUCGGGUUGUAAACCUCUUUCAGCAGGGAAGAAGCGCAAGUGACGGUACCUGCAGAAGAAGCGCCGGCUAACUACGUGCCAGCAGCCGCGGUAAUACGUAGGGCGCAAGCGUUGUCCGGAAUUAUUGGGCGUAAAGAGCUCGUAGGCGGUUUGUCGCGUCUGCUGUGAAAACUCGAGGCUCAACCUCGGGCCUGCAGUGGGUACGGGCAGACUAGAGUGCGGUAGGGGAGACUGGAAUUCCUGGUGUAGCGGUGGAAUGCGCAGAUAUCAGGAGGAACACCGAUGGCGAAGGCAGGUCUCUGGGCCGCAACUGACGCUGAG
rnacentral:rRNA from 1 species